AGAGUUUGAUCAUGGUUCAGAUUGAACGCUGGCGGCAUGCCUUACACAUGCAAGUCGAACGGCAGCACGGGAGCAAUCCUGGUGGCGAGUGGCGAACGGGUGAGUAAUACAUCGGAACGUGCCCAAUCGUGGGGGAUAACGCAGCGAAAGCUGUGCUAAUACCGCAUGAGAUCUACGGAUGAAAGCAGGGGACCUUCGGGCCUUGCGCGAAUGGAGCGGCCGAUGGCAGAUUAGGUAGUUGGUGGGGUAAAGGCCUACCAAGCCUGCGAUCUGUAGCUGGUCUGAGAGGACGACCAGCCACACUGGGACUGAGACACGGCCCAGACUCCUACGGGAGGCAGCAGUGGGGAAUUUUGGACAAUGGGCGCAAGCCUGAUCCAGCCAUGCCGCGUGCAGGAUGAAGGCCUUCGGGUUGUAAACUGCUUUUGUACGGAACGAAAAGGCUCUUUCUAAUAAAGAGGCUCAUGACGGUACCGU
rnacentral:rRNA from 1 species